rnacentral:lncRNA from 1 species
GUGGAGCCUGGCGACUGCUUUGGGAAGUCCUGCUGGCAGGCACUCUGCCCCUGGGGGUGUGCAAAGAGUUGUCCAGUUACCUUGAUCUUCUCACAGCCUCCUCCCCAGGGCACCAGGAGAGACCAGGAUUGGAGGACGGUAAAGAACACACUUCCCAGAGGAUUCUUGGAGGUGGCUUCCUCCAGGCAGUAAAUCUACAGCCCAGGCUCCCUGCAUCUUAUGGCUCCAAUCACUUUGGAUCUCAUCGUCGCCUGCACAUUGCCAUACACAGGGAAGGAGAAGAGAUGGAGAAGGCAAAGACUUUCUGAAAGCCGUGGCUAAAAGCUGGCAUGUGUCACAUCAGCUCACAUUCCAUUGUAGAGACGGGGUUUCACCGUGUUAGCCAGGAUGGUCUUGAUAUCCUGACCUCGUGAUCCGCCCGCCUUGGCUUCCCAAAGUGCUGGGAUUACAGGCGUGAGCCACCGCUCCCGGCCUGGCAGGCAUUCUUGAGGCAAACGGGAAAUGGGGUAAGUUACACAAUCGAUACAGCUCCGUCAUCGUGGUUUAAUUACUUUUCCACGUACCAUGUUUCCUGACAGGUAGAACGAUCAGCCUGGGCCUCCGUUUUUCAUUCUACAAAGAAUGAAGUGCAUGAACUGUCCUCUAUAGAAUUGUGGAAAAAGUUGUUUUUAUUGAGUUGUGGUUAUCUUUGUCUUCAUGGUCUAAUUACGGAAAUAAAUGCUUUUCCGAGUCUCCGGGGAUGGUCUGCCCUAGUCCAGCUCUCUGCAGUGUCUUUCUGGGUUUUUCCUCAGUGAACGGGAGGAACAUUGGCAGCACUUGUGGUCUGCACCAAGAACUGAAUCGAAUUUCCAUGUGUUAUUGAAUGUUCACAAAGACCUUGUACAGCGAGUGUUACUACCUCUGGUCAAUGAUUCAACUCAAGGCUCAGAAAAGUCAAGUGUCUUGUCCAGGGACACUUAGUCAGAAGUGAAUCCAAGGUUUAAGCUCAAGUCUGCCUAACUCUGAAUUUCACAGCCUUUUGCUACAUAUGGCGAAUAAUAUAUCCCUGAGCACUAAAGGCAGACUCCAAGGAUCUUGUCUCUGCAAUCAUCAUUCUGGCCAUAAUUUAUGAAAAGCAACCCAAAGUAUGUGAUGUAAUAAAAAGUACUAUCUAUGAGUUUACCCUUCCAAAAAUUGAACUGAAUUCUGAGCUCUAAAUUUGGAAUCAAAAGAACUUUUCUCUGCACUAAUCAUUUGGAACAUCACUUAAAGAAAACAACGAAAAACUGGUGUCCCCUGAGAGAAAGCAAUACAAAACAUUAUGCAUAAAGAAAUCCUUCCAAAAAAUAAACCAAAUCCAGUCAAAUCUCUAGUUUUGACUCCUAGCUUACCGGAAAUACGUGAUGGGAAAAAAAUGAAAUGACACCACUAUGAUUCAAUCAGCCAAAUCCAGCAUAUGCAAAUUUCUACCAGAUAAAUGGUUUAGUUUCUUCCCCAAACAAAUGGCACAAGGAAACGGAGAUGGAGUUCCCCUCUGCCACCCAGACUGGAGUACAGUGGCGCGAUCCUGGCCAUCGCAACCUCCGCCUCCCAGAUCCCUCCUACAACACAUGAGAAUUGUGGGUGCUACAAUUCAAGAUGAGAUUUGAGUGGGGACAAAGUCAAACCAUAUCAUUAGAUAGGACACUGGAGAAAGGCAAGAAAGAAAAGACAUCUGAAGAAUGAAGGGAGCCAAAGAAAUGCCAACAUUUUGCUUUUUGAAGAAAAGCUAAAUUAAAGUCAAAAUGGAUUUAUCAAUUUCCUUGGGUUCGUGAAUGUACAGAACUUUAUUAAGACUGUCAUGCUGUCAUCAUGGCUGGAUCUGAUACGGCCACCGUGGACCUUGAGGUGACCUCGGGAAUGGAGACAGUGCAUGGGAGAGAAUCACAUUGGAAGGGGCCUGGGUUUCUGAAGACCCUGUAAGACAGAUCUCCUUGCAGCCCUGACUGCCCACAUUAGGGCUUUUAUGUUAGGGUGAAGUUACCUUGCAUUGUCAUAUAAGCAAUUGCUAUUUGUGGUGUCUUGCAAAUAAACCUAUUCUGAUCUAGUAUGUUUCCU